rnacentral:rRNA from 1 species
AUUGAACGCUGGCGGCAGGCCUAACACAUGCAAGUCGAGCGAGCGGCGGACGGGUGAGUAAUGUAUGGGGACUGCCCGAUAGAGGGGGAUAACUACUGGAAACGGUGGCUAAUACCGCAUAAUGUCGGAUAACCCAUAUGGGAUUAGCUAGUAGGUAAGGUAAUGGCUUACCAAGGCGACGAUCCCUAGCUGGUAUGAGAGGAUGAUCAGCCACACUGGGACUGAGACACGGCCCAGACUCCUACGGAGGCAGCAGGGGGGAAUAUUGCACAAUGGGCGCAAGCCUGAUGCAGCCAUGCCGCGUGUAUGAAGAAGGCCCUCGGUUUGUAAAGUACUUUCAGUCGGGAGGCGUUACCGCCAGAAGAAGCACCGGCUAACUCCGUGCCAGCAGCCGCGGUAAUAC